GAUGAACGCUGGCGGCGUGCCUAGUACAUGCAAGUCGAGCGAACGGACGAGAAGCUUGCUUCUCUGAUGUUAGCGGCGGACGGGUGAGUAACACGUGGAUAACCUACCUAUAAGACUGGGAUAACUUCGGGAAACCGGAGCUAAUACCGGAUGAUAUUUUGAACCGCAUGGUUCAAAAGUGAAAGACGGUCUUGCUGUCACUUAUAGAUGGAUCCGCGCUGCAUUAGCUAGUUGGUAAGGUAACGGCUUACCAAGGCAACGAUGCAUAGCCGACCUGAGAGGGUGAUCGGCCACACUGGAACUGAGACACGGUCCAGACUCCUACGGGAGGCAGCAGUAGGGAAUCUUCCGCAAUGGGCGAAAGCCUGACGGAGCAACGCCGCGUGAGUGAUGAAGGUCUUCGGAUCGUAAAACUCUGUUAUUAGAGAAGAACAUAUGUGUAAGUAACUGUGCACAUCUUGACGGUACCUAAUCAGAAAGCCACGGCUAACUACGUG
rnacentral:rRNA from 1 species